AACGAACGCUGGCGGCAUGCCUAACACAUGCAAGUCGAACGAGACCUUCGGGUCUAGUGGCGCACGGGUGCGUAACGCGUGGGAACCUGCCCUUAGGUUCGGAAUAACUCCCCGAAAGGGGUGCUAAUACCGGAUAAUGUCUUCGGACCAAAGAUUUAUCGCCUUAGGAUGGGCCCGCGUUGGAUUAGCUAGUUGGUAGGGUAAAAGCCUACCAAGGCGACGAUCCAUAGCUGGUCUGAGAGGAUGAUCAGCCACACUGGGACUGAGACACGGCCCAGACUCCUACGGGAUGCGGCAGUGGGGGAUAUUGGACAGUGGGCGGAAGGCUGAUGCAGCAAUGCCGCGUGAGUGAUGAAGGCCUUAGGGUUGUAAAGCUCUUUUAACCGGGAUGAUAAUGACAGUACCGGAAGAAUAAGCUCCGGCUAACUCCGUG
rnacentral:rRNA from 1 species